rnacentral:rRNA from 1 species
CCUACGGGCGGCAGCAGUGAGGAAUAUUGGUCAAUGGGCGAGAGCCUGAACCAGCCAAGUAGCGUGAGGGAUGGCUGCCCUACGGGUUGUAAACUUCUUUUAUCAAGGAGUAAAGUGAGGCACGUGUGCCUUUUUGUGUGUAUUUUAUGAAUAAGCAUCGGCUAACUCCGUGCCAGCAGCCGCGGUAAUACGGAGGAUCCGAGCGUUAUCCGGAUUUAUUGGGUUUAAAGGGAGCGUAGAUGGGUUGUUAAGUCAGUUGUGAAAGUUUGCGGCUCAACCGUAAUAUUGCAAUUGAUACUGGCAGCCUUGAGUACAGGAGAGGUAGGCGGAAUGCGUGGUGUAGCGGUGAAAUGCUUAGAGAUCACGAAGAACUCCGAUUGCGAAGGCAGCCUACCAAACUGCUACUGACAUUGAUGCUCGAAAGUGUGGGUAGCAAACAGGAUUAGAUACCCGAGUAGUC